AUGAAAUCCGAUCUGUUUGCAGUCUUGUUUAAACGAGCAUUUGGAUUCGUGGACGACCUCUGACCUCACUUCCUGUUCCUCUGGGCUCAGGAUCAGGGCCUCUCAGGUGGGAGGAGCCUGGCAGCAGCUCGCUACACCAAAACAAAGAGUCGAGAACCAAUGAGAACGAUUUGCUGCUUGAAGGAAAGAACAGAACAGAACCUGCUGGAAACUGAAACUGACUGAAAACCCAGAGGAGACAAAGUGUCUCCAGCAGAACCAGCUUGAGUUCCAUGGACCAGAGGAAAAGAGUCUGCUGGUUCUAAUCUGCAGCUCCUCCAGGGGACGUGUUCACGACUGAAGAGGAAAUUCAUCUUCAAUCUUUUCAUUACAUUCCUGGAGAACAUUUCCCCUCAACAUAAGAUUGAAACAACCUUAGCUAAGGAGAAAUUCAACCUUAAGUGUCACAUUUAAAACGUGUGUCUUCUUCCACUGCUGCUUUCACGAAUCAUUCAGGAUGGCCAAGGCCAGCAGCAGGGGCUUAUGGGUAAACGCCUUCUACCAGGUCAAGGUUCAAAUGUGUGGACAGAUUUCCAGAGAACACAGCGGUGAGCUAUCAACAGCACAGAGUGACGACGAGGGAACUCAGGGUUAUCAUCAAACUCAUGAAGCGUUUCAACGGCUCCAGAUCUGGUAAACAGAGGAGGUGUGGCCUGCUCCUGAGCACCAGGCAGGUAGAGGGCGCUGCUCUCCACAAUCUGAGGUUGAACUCUAAAGAGCAGAUCCAGAAAACAGAAAGUCCUUCCUCUGAAGAACAAAGAGCGACAGAGAGCAACAGGCCUGAUGGGAAAUGUGGUUUCCAUUUGUAUAAGAUUUAUUUCAUCUCAGCAGUUGAUGAGAAAAACAUAAUAGUGUUUUUACAGAUAAUAUACAUAUCUACAUGUCUGUAUAUCAGUGUGAUAGGACACAGAGUUUAAUGAGCAUCACAAACUAUAUUAUCUGCUAAUAAAAAACUUGAACUAUCAA